GAAAUGCGAUAACUAAUGUGAAUUGCAGAAUUCAGUGAAUCAUCGAAUCUUUGAACGCACCUUGCGUUCCUUGGUAUUCCGAGGAGCAUGCCUGUUUGAGUGUCAUCAAAUUCUCAACCUCACCAAUUUUUGUAAUGAAAGUAGUGUGCAGGCUUGGAUGUCGGGGUUUGCAGCUCCGCCUCUUGGUGGUCUGCUCCUCUGAAAUGCAUUAGUGGGUUGUGCCCCUAGUCUAUUGGUGUGAUAAUUAUCUACGCCGUGGUUCAGGUUGGCUACUAUAGACCUGCUUCUAACCGUCCGUCUUGGACAACUUUGACAUUUUUGACCUCAUAUCAAGUAGGACUACCCGCUGAACUUAA
rnacentral:misc_RNA from 1 species